GGUUGUGGCUCAGUGGUAGAGUGCUUGCCUAGUGCAUGUGAGGUGAUGGGUUCAAUCCUCAGCACCA
rnacentral:tRNA from 1 species